GACGAACGCUGGCGGCGUGCUUAACACAUGCAAGUCGAACGGAAAGGCCCUGCUUGCAGGGUACUCGAGUGGCGAACGGGUGAGUAACACGUGGGUGAUCUGCCCUGCACUUCGGGAUAAGCCUGGGAAACUGGGUCUAAUACCGGAUAGGAGCCAUUUUUAGUGUGAUGGUUGGAAAGUUUUUUCGGUGUAGGAUGAGCUCGCGGCCUAUCAGCUUGUUGGUGGGGUAAUGGCCUACCAAGGCGGCGACGGGUAGCCGGCCUGAGAGGGUGGACGGCCACAUUGGGACUGAGAUACGGCCCAGACUCCUACGGGAGGCAGCAGUGGGGAAUAUUGCACAAUGGGCGCAAGCCUGAUGCAGCGACGCCGCGUGGGGGAUGACGGCCUUCGGGUUGUAAACUCCUUUCGCUAGGGACGAAGCUUUUUGUGACGGUACCUAGAGACGAAGCACCGGCUAACUACGUG
rnacentral:rRNA from 1 species